CUGAAUUGGAAUUUUAUUGAGAAAAAGAAAAACGAAAAAAACAAAGAAAACCCGUUGAAGGCACAACAGACGCAAACUAACGGGCUACGAAACUAUAACGGCGAAGACCCAGAGGGAAAAACAUCGUGAGAGGAAAAAAGAGUCAAGAAAUGUGCAGGAGCUACAUAGCAGGAACCCCAUGACAAUCAAAAAUCAAGAGCAUCAUCCUCCGUAUGAUUAUAAGAAUCUAUGAUGUCCCCCCAACGUUGAUUAGAGACCGUAUGAAUAUCAGAAUCCAUGAUGUCCCCCCAACGUUGAUUAGAGACCGUAUGAAUAUCAGAAUCCAUGAUGUCCCCCCAACGUUGAUAAGAGACUCCCGUCAUCGCAAGAGCCGCUGCAUCCCCGGGAAUAUCCGAAGGUCUACUAAUAUUGGAGCCUGGAAUAGCAGGAUGUCGUAACCGGUGCUUUAAAGAGGUAUCAGAAACCCCCCUUUUCCCGAAUUGCUUGGUAGCGCCCUUAGGACGCCCUCUGCCUCGCUUGCCCGUAGGAGCUUCAGUGAGCUCGACUGUUGAUGAGGCUGGGCGAACCUGAUCAAGAGGCAUAUCACUCCUCCCCGAGGCCACACGUGUAGAAGGUUGCUGUCCGCCAGUUGCAUGAGUCGAGUCAUCAUGCAGAGGAACGAUUGAAACACCAGACUCAGGGGUGCGAGCGAUGCAAGGCGCAUCCUGAGAUGCUGAAGUCGUAAUAGCGGCUGUGGGAAUGCCACUACUAGAAUUAGGCACAACAUGUGUGGUAGACACUGACCCAGACGGUUUCUCGAGUACCACUUGGGAAGCAUGGAUGCCCAAAAAAUUUGGUUCAGUCAUCGUAGCCGCAUCGAUCCCAUGACUUGAAUCCUCAAUAGCAAGAACGUUAAGACAAUUGGCUUUAGUAGGAGAAGUUGCCCUCAAAGCCGGAGAACCCAAAACCAACACCGGUCCCCUCGGCGUGAACUGCUGUUGCUCCGUCAAAGGAGCAGCCUGCUGCUGCUCGGGCUCUUGCUGAGAUUGUGAGCCAUCUGCCGCCUCCUCUGAGAGUAGCGCAAACCGAUUUUUAUCCUGAGUUCGCGGGGAAAGUUGUUGCUUCUCCUGCUGAGUAUGUCCCGAAGCCGGAACCACCUGCCAUUGAGGACCCUCCGGCACCGGUCUUUUGAGAACCUCUGCUGAAUUCUUGCGACUCCCUGGAUCAGUUUGGUUAUCUCCCUUAGUUAUCACAUUUUCCUUUUCCGAAUUCACCUUAACCUGAUCUGUGAUCUCCACUCGAGGUUGUUUCUUAUUGCAAUUAUCAACACAAUGCCCAGUGAUCCUGCAAUGUGUACAGUAAAGAGGUAAUUUCUCAUAAUAGAAUUCUACGUGAUAAGCCAUAUCAUCUCCUUGAACUUGCAUCGACUCUUGCAGCGGAAGCGAUAAAUCAACUUCGACAAGCAGCCGAACAUAAUGCCCAACAUCGGCAUAGGCAGACGCCCCAUCAAUUUAAUAGAAGUGCCAACACGUUGCCAAUAGCUGUGAUAACNUUAUUGCAAUUAUCAACACAAUGCCCAGUGAUCCUGCAAUGUGUACAGUAAAGAGGUAAUUUCUCAUAAUAGAAUUCUACGUGAUAAGCCAUAUCAUCUCCUUGAACUUGCAUCGACUCUUGCAGCGGAAGCGAUAAAUCAACUUCGACAAGCAGCCUAACAUAAUGCCCAACAUCGGCAUAGGCAGACGCCCCAUCAAUUUUAAUAGAAGUGCCAACAACGUUGCCAAUAGCUGUGAUAACUUCAGGAUGCCAGAACUCCACAGGAAGAUUAUAUAUUCUAACCCAAACUUGGCUCAACGAAGAAACUUCCUUAUAGGGAUUAAACCCUUUCACCCACUCCCUCACUAACGGAAGGGAUCCCUUCGACAACUUCCAGAACUUUCGAUCCUUAACAAUGUUCUUAUCCUCCAUUGUAUCAAACUUCAAGAUAUAAAAGCCCUUACACAUUUUUUGGCUCAACGAAGAAACUUACAGGAAGAUUAUAUAUUCUAACCCAAACUUGGCUCAACGAAGAAACUUCCUUAUAGGGAUUAAACCCUUUCACCCACUCCCUCAUACGAAGGGAUCCCUUCGACAACUUCCAGAACUUUCGAUCCUUAACAAUGUUCUUAUCCUCCAUUGAAGCCGCUCAUAGUUUGGCGCAGUAUGCGCGUUUGAUUGUUGAUUGUUGCCAGUGGACGCAUGAUUAUCCACAGUGGCUUAGGGACAUUGUACGUCUUGAUAUGGAAUAAUAAAGUCGUACGUUUUCCCUCUCAAAAAAAAAGAUAUAAAAGCCCUUACACAUUGGAAUCAACUUCCACUCCGAUGAAAUCUUCCAUAUCGAUUGUAGUUCCUGCUUAAGUUCAGCGGUAGGACGAGGCGUAUCACCUUUUUCCAAUAACAGUUUUCCAAUAAUUGCGUAUCGAAAUUCCUCAAACCGUUUCUUGCAAAAUUCAGAAGGCAAAGAAAGAGUAAAGCCAUGACCUGAUUCUUGUGCCUGAAGCGCCGUGAACUUAUGAGCAAAGACAUCUGGGCGUCGCAAAAGGCGGGGGGCAACCGCACCAGCGUAAGAACCACGUUGAUUAUCCGGGAGAAAAUCCCUCUUCGCGCCGGAUCCAUCAGGAUAGCAAGUCUUUGUCGCAGCAGCAUGAGAAGGGUUAUUUCCAGGAGAGAAAUGAGUGUCUAGUGUCGUCGGUUGCACCCCCGUAGAGGAUCUGGCAUCGACAGUGGCUAGAAUACUCUGUUCGUGGGCAGAGAUCAGAUCCUUUCCCCCAGCAG
rnacentral:lncRNA from 1 species